GCGGGAUUAGCCAAGUGGUAAGGCAGAAGACAAACACAAGUUUGGUCCUUGAUUAACACCUUGUCUGAAAAGACCGAAUAAUUGAGGGUUAUCGGGUUCUUCCAUUCGCAGGUUCGAGUCCUGCAUUCCGCA
rnacentral:tRNA from 1 species